CGGAGAGUUUGAUCCUGGCUCAGGAUGAACGCUGGCGGCGUGCCUAAUACAUGCAAGUCGAACGCUUUGUGGUUCAACUGAUUUGAAGAGCUUGCUCAGAUAUGAUGAUGGACAUUGCAAAGAGUGGCGAACGGGUGAGUAACACGUGGGAAACCUACCUCUUAGCAGGGGAUAACAUUUGGAAACAGAUGCUAAUACCGUAUAACAAUAGCAACCGCAUGGUUGCUACUUAAAAGAUGGUUCUGCUAUCACUAAGAGAUGGUCCCGCGGUGCAUUAGUUAGUUGGUGAGGUAAUGGCUCACCAAGACGAUGAUGCAUAGCCGAGUUGAGAGACUGAUCGGCCGCAAUGGGACUGAGACACGGCCCAUACUCCUACGGGAGGCAGCAGUAGGGAAUCUUCCACAAUGGGCGAAAGCCUGAUGGAGCAACGCCGCGUGUGUGAUGAAGGGUUUCGGCUCGUAAAACACUGUUGUAAGAGAAGAAUGACAUUGAGAGUAACUGUUCAAUGUGUGACGGUAUCUUACCAGAAAGGAACGGCUAAAUACGUGCCAGCAGCCGCGGUAAUACGUAUGUUCCAAGCGUUAUCCGGAUUUAUUGGGCGUAAAGCGAGCGCAGACGGUUAUUUAAGUCUGAAGUGAAAGCCCUCAGCUCAACUGAGGAAUUGCUUUGGAAACUGGAUGACUUGAGUGCAGUAGAGGAAAGUGGGACUCCAUGUGUAGCGGUGAAAUGCGUAGAUAUAUGGAAGAACACCAGUGGCGAAGGCGGCUUUCUGGACUGUAACUGACGUUGAGGCUCGAAAGUGUGGGUAGCAAACAGGAUUAGAUACCCUGGUAGUCCACACCGUAAACGAUGAGUGCU
rnacentral:rRNA from 1 species